rnacentral:rRNA from 1 species
CACGUAGGGGGCGAGCGUUGUCCGGAUUUAUUGGGCGUAAAGAGCUCGUAGGCGGUGUGUCGCGUCGGCCGUGAAAACUUGCAGCUUAACUGUGGGCGUGCGGUCGAUACGGGCAUCACUGGAGUUCGGCAGGGGAGACUGGAAUUCCUGGUGUAGCGGUGAAAUGCGCAGAUAUCAGGAGGAACACCGGUGGCGAAGGCGGGUCUCUGGGCCGAUACUGACGCUGAGGAGCGAAAGCGUGGGGAGCGAACAGG